rnacentral:rRNA from 1 species
GAUCAUGGCUCAGGAUGAACGCUAGCUACAGGCUUAACACAUGCAAGUCGGAGGGGCAGGCAUGGUCUUAGCUUGCUAAGACUGAUGGCGACCGGCGCACGGGUGAGUAACACGUAUCCAACCUGGCCGUCUACUCUUGGACAGCCUUCUGAAAGGAAGAUUAAGUACCAAGAUGGGCAUCAUGAGUCCGCAUGUUCAUAUGAUUAAAGGUAUUCCGGUAGACGA